rnacentral:lncRNA from 1 species
AUGAUGUCAUGGUGCCCUCGCUGUAUGAUGUCAUGGUGCCCUCGCUGUAUGAUGUCAUGGUGCACUGUAUUUGCAGGCUGUAUGGCAGGCAAUGGAGCUUCAAAUUCAGAGACUUAGCCUGGAUGACCUUACAUUUCCAUGUGUGUUGGACUCUGCCUGGCCAGCUCCGUCCGGUCAGAGAUAGGGUUUUCGAAAUUGUCACGUUAUCUCCCAAAGGUAAAAGAACAUCUGUACACCAAA